AAAUUUUAUGGCACUGAUUAAACUUGACCGAGCCUCAGACAUAUGGCAAGUGCCAAGUGAGCACCAUAACCCCAAUCUUUCCAUUUCCUUCUUCGUCACGGAUUCAUACACCGCUCUUUUUCCGUAUCUCCCAAAACUGUGAACUCCAUUCUACACAUGAAGCGAAAGAAAUGGUCGGAGAUGGAAGAACAAACCCUCCUGACCAAGUACUCGGAGCUUCGAAACUCGGGAGCCUUGGCCAAGCUCAAGACGCGAGAGAAGAAAUUCAAGCCCGUGGCGGACCACGUUAAUACGGUACACCAUCUCCAGGACCCAACAAGUUUCCCCUUCAAGUGGACCUGGCGGGACGUGUCCAUCAAGGUCCAGAACAUGCGCCACCAGUACUUGGGUGUGAAGCAGAAGAUCCAGGUCUCCAAGGACGACUUCAACUGGAAAGAUGGGGAAAAUCACUGGGUAAAUUUCUUGAAGUACAAGGAGGUGUUUGGGGAUGUGGAGCUUGAUGCCAAGGGAAAGAGGCUGUGUGAGAAUAUGGAUGUUUUCGGGGAUUGUGGGGAUUUGGGGUUCGGGAUUGAUUGUGAGGAUUUGGAGGAAAAGGAGGAAGACGAUGAUGAAGAAGAAGAAGAAGAAGAGGAAUAUGAUGACUGUGGUGGUGGUGGUGGUGGUGAUGGUGAGGAUGGUAAUGGUUGCAGUGGCGAUGGUGAACAAAUUGUGAGGUCUGAUGGCCAAUUUGUGGAUGGAAGGGGUAAUGGGGAAAUGGGUUUUGCUCGGAAGAAAUCGAAGAAGGGUUUCGGAGUAAAUCGGAGAUUGAGAUUGAUGGGAACAAAAGUUUCAGAGUUGAGGGAUGUGGUGGUGAAGAGGGAGGAGAGGAAAAGAGAGAGGCAGUUUCAGCUGGAGAAGAGCGAGAUAGAGAGGGAGGAAAACAGGAAAGAAGCGCGUUUGAGGGCGGUGGAGAGGAGAUACGAGACGAAAGAAUGGUUGGAGAAUAGGGAACUGGAGCUGGAAGAGAGGGAGUUGAUAUGGGCAAGGAGGGAAUUUGAGAGAAGGUGGAGGUUGGAAAGAGACUUUGUCGAUGAGCGGCGAAGGAAGCUGAGGAUGGAGCAGGAGAGGGAGGAGGAGGAGAUGGAGUGGAGGGAGAGGAUGGUGGGGUUGCAGAUUGAGCAUGAGAAGCAAAUGAUGCAAAUGCACGCGGAGGCAUGCCAGAACCAAAUGCAGAUUCUCGGGGUGAUGGCUCGACUUGUAUGUCAGUUUUUUGGGUCUGCGAGUGAUGGGUUGGGUGGUGCGUUGGGAGCCUUGCCGCCUCAAGUUUUGCAGAGUUUGCAGCAUCCAGGAGGAUUGAGUGAUAACGGGAAGCCUGAUGCCAAUUCUCCUUCUGAAUUCCUGUGACUGUAAAAUGCGAGGUAUGAAUCAUCAAUCAUGACUUCCUUGGUGGUGAGGUGUCAGCUCACUGUAUUUUGCUACUAAAUGCUGUUGAAUAUGCCAUAACUAGACAUUAUUUUCUGCUGGCCUCCAAAAAGCCAGUUUGGUUGGGGAUCCGUGCUGCAUUAAUUCAGCUUCCUGGAGGAUGCUACCGUUGCCACAUAUCCUCAACUGCCUGGCCAGCACCAGUGGAGCUACUGACAAAGAUGCCUCUAUGAAUGUGAAUUUGGCCAAAAUGUGAGGUGGGGUGAUUUAUACCAGUUGAUGAAUGUCAAUUCUGAAUGUGGCUACGGCUGUUUGCUCCACAAUCGGCAAUGAAGUCUCAUUUUUUAUGUUUAGACUCUCUGAAAGCAGGACUGUUAGAUGGUAGGGAUGUGUCAUAACCAACCAGUCCAAAUGAAACUGAUUUCCAGGCUUCAAUUUGACGAGUGUUUCACAACCGUGCCUUUUCAACAUCGAUUUUGGAGAUACUAGGUGAAUAUCCGACCUUCAGUAUUGCAGGAUGAAAUCAAAAGGUGAACAGAAACAAAUACCCUUUGGUGACCCGUUAUAUUAUUGGAGGAAAUAUCCUAGCUUAGUAGCUUUCUGUAGGAAUUAUGUGCAUUUUUUUUCUUCAUCGGUAGAAUUACUAAAUUAGUGUUCUAAUCUUUAGUUUUUCCCUUGAUACUGGCUCAUGUCAGCAUGCAGUUAUAUUUGUUUAUAACUAAGUAAUGCUGUAAAAUUGUUUGUAAAAGGAAUUCUGGAACAUUUUAUAAACGAUUUUUUUAUAUCC